UGCCAGCAGCCGCGGUAAUUCCAGCUCCAAUAGCGUAUAUUAAAGUUGUUGUGGUUAAAAAGCUCGUAGUUGGAUCUCAGUUCGAGUCAGGCGGUCCACUUGCCAGUGGCUACUGCCUGACUGAACACUUUACCGAGUUGUCCUAUGGUGUUCUUCACCGAGCGUCAUAGGCGAUCGGUACGUUUACUUUGAAAAAAUUAGAGUGCUCAAAGCAGGCGUAACGCCCGAAUAAUGUUGCAUGGAAUAAUGGAAUAGGACCUCGGUUCUAUUCUGUUGGUCUUCGGAAUCAGAGGUAAUGAUCAAUAGGGACAGACGGGGACAUUCGUAUUGCGGCGCUAGAGGUGAAAUUCUUGGACCGUCGCAAGACGAACUAAAGCGAAAGCAUUUGUCAAGAAUGUUUUCAUUAAUCAAGAACGAAAGUAGAGGUUCGAAGGCGAUCAGAUACCGCCCUAGUUCUAACCAUAAACGAUGCCAACCAGUAAUUCGUCUGAGUUCCUUAAAUGACUCGACGAGGGACUUCCGGGAAACCAAAGUCUUUCGGUUCCAGGGGAAGUAUGGUUGCAAAGCUGAAACUUAAAGAAAUUGACGGAAGGGCACCACCAGGAGUGGAGCCUGCGGCCUAAUUUGACCCAACACGGGAAAACUCGCCCGGCCCGGACACUGGAAGGAUUGACAGAUUGAGAGCUCUUUCUUGAUUCAGUGGGUGGUGGUGCAUGGCCGUUCUUAGUUGGUGGAGUGAUUUGUCUGGUUAAUUCCGAUAACGAACGAGACUCUAGCCUACUAAAUAGAUCGUCGGCUUACAAACGCCGGCGAGACUUCUUAGAGGGACAGGCGGUGAUUCAACCGCACGAAACAGAGCAAUAACAGGUCUGUGAUGCCCUUAGAUGUCCGGGGCCGCACGCGCGCUACACUGAAGUGAUCAGCGUGCUUUUUCAACCUACUCUGUCAAGAGUGGGGAACCCAAUGAACCUUCUUCGUGAUUGGGAUAGGGGAUUGUAAUUAUUCCCCUUGAACGAGGGAUUCCCAGUAAGCGCGAGUCAUAAGCUCGCGUUGAUUACGUCCCUGCCCUUUGUACACACCGCCCGUCGCUACUACCGAUUGAAUGUUUUAGUGAGGUCUUCGGACUGGCCGGCGCAGCACUCUCGUAGUGCAGCGCUGUGUUUGGAAAGAUGCCCAAACUUGAACAUUUAGAGGAAGUAAAAGU
rnacentral:rRNA from 1 species